rnacentral:lncRNA from 1 species
GGGGGAUGGGAGGAGGGGAGGAGCAGAGAAAGGAGAGGAGGCGGAGACGGUUAGUCUAGCCUCUCUGUGGGGCCUCUCUGCUGGUACCCAGAUGCUGAGCGCUGAAAUUCUCAUCCGCCACACACAACAUGGCGGCUUCCUGGACCCGCGCCCAAUUUUCGCUUCCGGGAUGGAAGCUACGUCAUUUCCCCCUCUGUUGCCCUAGCGCCCCUUGGAAGCCAAGAAUAUGAGGAAGUCUUCUUCCUUCGCGCCUUCUUCUUCCUUACGCUCCAGGGCAGCCUGACAGAGCCGCUCGAAGGCUCUGCUGGCCGCGGCUAGCCGGUGAGGAGGGUGGGGGGAGGGGCCGUCCCGCGUGUGGGGGAGUCUGAAGGCGACCAACGAGAGGGAGGGCCGGAGCGGGAUGUCCAGUAAAUUGGGGAUGAAAAUCCUCCCAGGAACCCGAUUAUUAAUGGGUUGAGGGAAGUGGCAGGUGCAGCGGUUGCGCAAAGACAAUGAUGCUUAGUAGCCAGGACUUCAUGGCCACAAAAUUUGUGUGUAGAGAGGGCCACAGCAGCCUGAAAACCAUUUUCGUCCCCUUUUAGGUUUACCCAUUCCACUGGACCCAGCCACCACCCACUCCUGCUGUCUGGUAAACUUUCCUCCUGUUUCUGGGGCCAUGUCUGGCAUGAAGAGUUUUUACUGAAUAGUUUUCAUUGAUCGCAGGCCAGUUCUCUCUUCUCACCCCUUUAUUGAAGUGACAGUGAAAAUCUAAGUGAGAAAGCACUGUUACAGGGGCUGAAAAGGCUACAGGAGACCAGAGCCAUUGACUUUUAUUUUUAAAAUGAAGAUCUCUUUUACUUGAAGGAACUUAAGAAUUUUGGCAUUCAAAUAGGGGCUGGAAGACUUGAAAGCAGUAGAAAUUUCACCACAGGUGAUAGGAAAGGAUGAUCACGAAAUGAAUAUCUCCUGACUUGCACACCUAGUGAGCAGAGCCAGGAAGGACCUCCUUCACCUUAGCAUUUGGAACAGGCUGCAAAGUUCAUUCUUCCUCAUAGCAGCCCCUGCAUUCAGUUUGGUUUAGUUGUUUUAUGUGGUUUCUAGCCUGAUUUUUUUUUUCAGGGUGCAGCAGAAGUCUCAGGUAGCUGAGAAGUUCAUGGAAUCUUCUUAUUUGCUACACCUUUCACUACUGCUUGUGAUAUAGUGCAGGGUUGGGAUGUGCAGACAUUUCUCAAGUGCACUGUGUACCUACACAGCAUGCUGCAAUUUGGCUACUGAAGUCAAGAGAAACUGGUUUGAACAACUACUGAGUGUAACAUAGGAAGCGCAUUUCAUUUGAUAACAGGAACACAGCUUUUGUGCUAAUAAAAUGCUUUGAAAAUUAGUGUGUGGUCUUUAGUAAUUAGCAUAUACAUUUUAGUUAUCCAUUGGUUCAUAACAAACGGACUAAAUAGGUACCCCACUGAGUCAUUUAUCUAAAUGAAAAGUUUGGUUAAAUUGUAGUUGUAGGCAUUGAUCAAAGCUAAUGGGAAAAAGAGAUUAAGAUGAAAAUCAUGGGAUUAAAUUUUUAAUUAGUUUGCCCCUUGGACCGUUGCUUGGUAUGACAUGGAGAUUGAUUGGCUACUUAUGCCUGCCUGGGAAGAUAUGGCUCUGCUACCAAACCUCUGAACGUAAGAGUGUUUUGCAAAAAAACUGAAUAUUUUAUUCAGUAAUUUUUCACUUUAUUCCUGCUUAACAAGGAAUUGAAAAGGAAGGCAAGGUCUUGGAUCUCAUAGUUCUUGGUAUAGUGAUAGAUAUAAAGUAUGAGAUGGGGGCUUCAGUGGGUUCAUUAAUAAAUAUCUCAAAUUAACAUGUCUAAGUCAAACAUUUUCCCCUUCGCCAAUCAGCAGUUGCAAAAAGUCCUCCAGGAAAAGUCUGGAUGCCAGAAAGCCGUACCUGAGGGAGGCAGAAUUGCAUGGCAGUGGGCUACAUGGGCUCCAGAGUUGGCCAAUGUGUGGCCUCUAACAAGUAUCUUGCCUCCUCUAUGCCUCAGUUUCCUUCUCUGUAAAGUGUGGGUGAUGAUGUUUACUUUUUAGUUGUCAUGAAGGUGAGGGAUGAUGAUGCUUAGCACAGUGUCUGACACUUUACAGCAAGCGCCACGAUCCACUGUUGUCAUCGGGACUUUUGUCAUCCUCAGUGCUGCCACACGUUUGCCCUGGGUCCUUGAGCAAAUUGGCUCUUUUCUGUGGCCCCCUUGUU